rnacentral:rRNA from 1 species
UACGUAGGGUGCAAGCGUUGUCCGGAAUUAUUGGGCGUAAAGAGCUCGUAGGCGGUCUGUCGCGUCUGCUGUGAAAACUCGGGGCUUAACCCCGGGCCUGCAGUGGGUACGGGCAGACUAGAGUGCGGUAGGGGAGACUGGAAUUCCUGGUGUAGCGGUGAAAUGCGCAGAUAUCACUUGGAACGCCAAAGGUGAAAACAGUCUGCUGGGGACUUGCUGACGCUGAGACACGAAAGCCAGGGGAGCGAACGGG